UAGGGAAUCUUCCACAAUGGGCGCAAGCCUGAUGGAGCAACACCGCGUGAGUGAAGAAGGGUUUCGGCUCGUAAAGCUCUGUUGUUAAAGAAGAACACGUAUGAGAGUAACUGUUCAUACGUUGACGGUAUUUAACCAGAAAGUCACGGCUAACUACGUGCCAGCAGCCGCGGUAAUACGUAGGUGGCAAGCGUUAUCCGGAUUUAUUGGGCGUAAAGAGAGUGCAGGCGGUUUUCUAAGUCUGAUGUGAAAGCCUUCGGCUUAACCGGAGAAGUGCAUCGGAAACUGGAUAACUUGAGUGCAGAAGAGGGUAGUGGAACUCCAUGUGUAGCGGUGGAAUGCGUAGAUAUAUGGAAGAACACCAGUGGCGAAGGCGGCUACCUGGUCUGCAACUGACGCUGAGACUCGAAAGCAUGGGUAGCGAACAGGAUUAGAUACCCUGGUAG
rnacentral:rRNA from 1 species